UUCUCCUCCUCCUUAUCAAGGAGGAGGAGAUGGAGGAGAGAAUGCUGGAGCUGGAGAUGGUAGCUCUGCGGUGAUCACACCCCAUGGCCUGAACAUCAACGUUGGAGAGCCAGUGAAACGGAAGAGGGGGCGGCCGAGGAAGUACGGACCCCAUGGCCUAGCUCUGAACCCUUUAUCUACUGCUGCUUCAGUCUUGCCGGUAGCCGGUGCAUUCUCUCCUCCUGCAGGGAUGGCUAACCCGGCCGAUGCCACUAAGAAACCAAGGGGCCGGCCACCGGGUUCCGGCAACAAGAAGCAGAAGCUG
rnacentral:lncRNA from 1 species